AUCUGAUUCUUUAAUAGUUUAAUGUUAAUUUAUUCAGAUGCUUCUAGAAGUCCUAUGAUAGCACAAUGAUCAAACAUCAAACAAGGUGCCGAUCAUUUCCACACAGUAUUGAUAAGGUGCCAAUCAUUUCCACACAGUAUUGAUAAGGUGCCGAUCAUUUCCAUACAGUAUUGAUAAGGUGCCGAUCAUUUCCACACAGUAUUGAUAAGGUGCCGAUCAUUUCCAUACAGUAUUGAUAAGGUGCUGAUCAUUUUCCACACAGUAUUGAUAAGGUGCCGAUCAUUUCCAUACAGUAUUGAUAAGGUGCCGAUCAUUUCCACACAGUAUUGAUAAGGUGUCGAUCAUUUCCACACAGUAUUGAUAAGGUGCCGAUCAUUUCCAUACAGUAUUGAUAAGGUGCUGAUCAUUUCCACACAGUAUUGAUAAGGUGCUGAUCAUUUCCACACAGUAUUGAUAAGGUGCUGAUCAUUUCCACACAGUAUUGAUAAGGUGCUGAUCAUUUCCAUACAGUAUUGAUAAGGUGCUGAUCAUUUCCAUACAGUAUUGAUAAGGUGCCGAUCAUUUCCACACAGUAUUGAUAAGGUGCUGAUCAUUUCCACACAGUAUUGAUAAGGUGCUGAUCAUUUCCAUACAGUAUUGAUAAGGUGCCGAUCAUUUCCAUACAGUAUUGAUAAGGUGCUGAUCAUUUCCACACAGUAUUGAUAAGGUGCUGAUCAUUUCCACACAGUAUUGAUAAGGUGCUGAUCAUUUCCAUACAGUAUUGAUAAGGUGCCGAUCAUUUCCAUACAGUAUUGAUAAGGUGCCGAUCAUUUCCAUACAGUAUUGAUAAGGUGCCGAUCAUUUCCAUACAGUAUUGAUAAGGUGCUGAUCAUUUCCACACAGUAUUGAUAAUGUGCUGAUCAUUUCCAUACAGUAUUGAUAAGGUGCCGAUCAUUUCCAUACAGUAUUGAUAAGGUGCCGAUCAUUUCCAUACAGUAUUGAUAAGGUGCCGAUCAUUUCCAUACAGUAUUGAUAAGGUGCCGAUCAUUUCCAUACAGUAUUGAUAAGGUGCCGAUCAUUUCCAUACAGUAUUGAUAAGGUGCCGAUCAUUUCCACACAGUAUUGAUAAUGUGCUGAUCAUUUCCAUACAGUAUUGAUAAGGUGCUGAUCAUUAAGUGUCACACAGUAUUGAUAAGGGAAAGGUCAAAUGGGAUACCUAGUGAGUUGGAAAGGUAAAAGGGGAUACCUAGUCAGUACAACCUUAAUGCACCUCAACUGAAAUGUGUAUAUCCGUAUUUAACCUCUGAAUCAGGUGUGGGGGGCUGCAUUAAUCAACAUUCACGUCUUCAGUGGGUUAGCUGCCUUGUUCAGGGAACAGUGGGGUUAGCUGCCUUGUUCAGGGGAACAGUGGGGUUAACUGCCUUGUUCAGGGGAACAGUGGGGUUAACUGCCUUGUUCAGGGGAACAGUGGGGUUAACUGCCUUGUUCAGGGGAACAGUGGGGUUAGCUGCCUUGUUCAGGGGAACAGUGGGGUUAGCUGCCUUGUUCAGGGGAACAGUGGGGUUAACUGCCUUGUUCAGGGAACAGUGGGGUUAACUGCCUUG